GAUGAACGCUGGCGGCGUGCCUAAUACAUGCAAGUCGAGCGAACAGAUGAGGAGCUUGCUCCUCUGACGUUAGCGGCGGACGGGUGAGUAACACGUGGAUAACCUACCUAUAAGACUGGGAUAACUUCGGGAAACCGGAGCUAAUACCGGAUAAUAUAUUGAACCGCAUGGUUCAAUAGUGAAAGACGGUUUUGCUGUCACUUAUAGAUGGAUCCGCGCCGCAUUAGCUAGUUGGUAGGGUAACGGCUUACCAAGGCAACGAUGCGUAGCCGACCUGAGAGAGUGAUAGGCCACACUGGAACUGGAACACGGUCAAGACUACUACGGGAGGCAGCAGUAGGGAAUCUUACGCAGUGGGCGAAAGCAUGACGGAGCAACGCCGCGUGAGUGAUGAAGGUCUUCGGAUCGUAAAACUCUGUUAUUAGGGAAGAACAAAUGUGUAAGUAACUAUGCACGUCUUGACGGUAACUAAUAAGAAAGCAACGGCUAACUACGUG
rnacentral:rRNA from 1 species